GACGAACGCUGGCGGCGUGCUUAACACAUGCAAGGCGAACGAUGAAGCCGGAGCUUGCUCUGGUGAAUUAGUGGCGAACGGGUGAGUAACACGUGAGUAACCUGCCCUUGACUCUGGGAUAACUGCGGGAAACUGUAGCUAAUACCGGAUACGACCCUCGGAGGCAUCUCCUGGGGGUGGAAAGAAUUUCGGUCAAGGAUGGACUCGCGGCCUAUCAGCUAGUUGGUGAGGUAAGGGCUCACCAAGGCGACGACGGGUAGCCGGCCUGAGAGGGUGACCGGCCACACUGGGAGUGAGACACGGCCCAGACUCCUACGGGAGGCAGCAGUGGGGAAUAUUGCACAAUGGGCGCAAGCCUGAUGCAGCAACGCCGCGUGAGGGAUGACGGCCUUCGGGUUGUAAACCUCUUUUAGCAGGGAAGAAGCGAAAGUGACGGUACCUGCAGAAAAAGCACCGGCUAACUACGUGCCAGCCGCCGCCGUAA
rnacentral:rRNA from 1 species